UACAUUCAAUAAGCGGAGGAAAAGAAACUAACAAGGAUUCCCCUAGUAACUGCGAGUGAAGUGGGAAAAGCUCAAAUUUAAAAUCUGGUGGCCUUUGGCCAUCCGAGUUGUAAUUUAGAGAAGCGUCUUCCGCGCUGGACCGUGCACAAGUCUCCUGGAAUGGAGCGUCAUAGAGGGUGAGAAUCCCGUCUUUGGCACGGACUCCCGGUGCUUUGCGAUGCGCUCUCGACGAGUCGAGUUGUUUGGGAAUGCAGCUCAAAAUGGGUGGUGAACUCCAUCUAAAGCUAAAUAUUGGCGAGAGACCGAUAGCGAACAAGUACCGUGAGGGAAAGAUGAAAAGCACUUUGGAAAGAGAGUGAAACAGUACGUGAAAUUGUUGAAAGGGAAACGCUUGAAGUCAGUCGCGUUGACCGAGACUCAGCCUUGUCUUGGCUUGGUGUGCUUCUCGGCUCGACGGGUCAGCAUCAAUUUUGAUCUUUAGAUAAUGGCAAGGGAAAGGUGGCACCUUUUUAGGUGUGUUAUAGUCCCGUGUCGGAUGCAAGGGUCAGGAUUGAGGAACUCAGCAUGCACCUUUGGGUGUCGGGGUCUUUGCCCACGUUAUGUGCUUAGGAUGCUGGCGUAAUGGCUUUAAACGACCCGUCUUGAAACACGGACCAAGGAGUCUAACAUGCACGCGAGUGUUCGGGUGGAAAACCCGUGCGCGUAAUGAAAGUAAAAGUUGGGACCUCUGUCGUGGAGGGCACCGACGCCCGGACCAGACCUUCUGUGACGGAUCUGCGGUAGAGCGUGUAUGUUGGGACCCGAAAGAUGGUGAACUAUGCCUGAAUAGGGUGAAGCCAGAGGAAACUCUGGUGGAGGCUCGUAGCGAUUCUGACGUGCAAAUCGAUCGUCAAAUUUGGGUAUAGGGGCG
rnacentral:rRNA from 1 species